UACGUAGGGGGCAAGCGUUGUCCGGAGUUACUGGGCGUAAAGCGCACGCAGGCGGUCUCUUAAGUUUGGAGUGACAGUUGGUGGCUUAACUGCCAAAGUGCUUCGAAAACUGAGAGACUUGAGGGCUUCAGAGGGACACGGAAUUCCGGGUGGAGUGGUGAAAUGCGUAGAGAUCCGGAGGAACACCAAAGGCGAAGGCGGGACUCUGGGCCGAUACUGACGCUGAGGAGCGAAAGCGUGGGGAGCAAACAGG
rnacentral:rRNA from 1 species